GCAUAUCAAUAAGCGGAGGAAAAGAAACCAACAGGGAUUGCCUUAGUAACGGCGAGUGAAGCGGCAAAAGCUCAAAUUUGAAAUCUAGCACUUUCAGUGUUCGAGUUGUAAUUUGAAGAAGGUAACUUUGGAAUUGGCUCUUGUCUAUGUUCCUUGGAACAGGACGUCACAGAGGGUGAGAAUCCCGUGCGAUGAGAUGUCCAAUUCUAUGUAAAGUGCUUUCGAAGAGUCGAGUUGUUUGGGAAUGCAGCUCUAAGUGGGUGGUAAAUUCCAUCUAAAGCUAAAUAUUGGCGAGAGACCGAUAGCGAACAAGUACAGUGAUGGAAAGAUGAAAAGAACUUUGAAAAGAGAGUGAAAAAGUACGUGAAAUUGUUGAAAGGGAAGGGCUUGAGAUCAGACUUGGUAUUUUGUGUUCCUUAUCCUUCUUGGAUUAGGUUCCUCACAGCUUACCGGGCCAGCAUCGGUUUGGAUGGCAGGAUAAUGACAUUGGAAUGUAGCUUUGCUUCGGUGAAGUGUUAUAGACUUUGUUGAUACUGCCUAUCUAGACCGAGGACUGCGUCUUUGACUAGGAUGCUGGCGUAAUGAUCUUAAGCCGCCCGUCUUGAAACACGGACCAAGGAGUCUAACGUCUAUGCAAGUGUUUGGGUGUAAAACCCGUACGCGUAAUGAAAGUGAACGUAGGUGAGAGCCCUUUGGGUGCAUCAUCGACCGAUCCUGAUGUCUUCGGAUGGAUUUGAGUAAGAGCAUAGCUGUUGGGACCCGAAAGAUGGUGAACUAUGCCUGAAUAGGGUGAAGCCAGAGGAAACUCUGGUGGAGGCUCGUAGCGGUUCUGACGUGCAAAUCGAUCGUCGAAUUUGGGUAUAGGGGCGAAAGACUAAUCGAACCAUCUAGUAGCUGGUUCCUGCG
rnacentral:rRNA from 1 species